rnacentral:rRNA from 1 species
GCGAUUAUAUCAGCACUAAUGCACCGGAUUCAAUCAGAACUCCGAAGUUAAGCUUGCUUGGGCGAGAGCAGUACUAGGAUGGGUGACCCCUGGGAAGUCCUCGUAUUGCUCCU